UACGUAGGGUCCGAGCGUUGUCCGGAAUUAUUGGGCGUAAAGGGCUCGUAGGCGGUUCGUCACGUCGGGAGUGAAAACUCGGAGCUUAACUCCGAGCCUGCUUCCGAUACGGGCAGACUAGAGGUAGGCAGGGGAGAGCGGAACUCCUGGUGUAGCGGUGGAAUGCGCAGAUAUCAGGAAGAACACCGGUGGCGAAGGCGGCUCUCUGGGCCGUAACUGACGCUGAGGAGCGAAAGCGUGGGGAGCGAACAGG
rnacentral:rRNA from 1 species